rnacentral:tRNA from 1 species
AUAAAUAUAGCUUAAAUAAAGCCAAGACUUGUGGAGUCUUUAAUACAAAAUUAAAUUUGUUAUUUAUA